rnacentral:tRNA from 1 species
CUCCACGUGUUUCAGAUGGUAAAGAAUCUGCCUGCAGUGCUGGAGACCAGGGUUCAGUCCCUGAGUGGAGA